UCUUUGAACGCACCUUGCACCCCUUGGUAUUCCGAGGGGUACGCCUGUUUGAGUGUCGUGAAAUCCUCAACCCUCCUCCUCUUUUGUUAGAGGGGCCGAGGGCUUGGA
rnacentral:rRNA from 1 species